ACAAAAUAUGUCGUUAAAAAAAUAUUCUGGGAAAUUUCGUGGUGACCAUAUUAUCUUUUAAAAUCCUGCAGCAUUGAAUUUUUGGUUUUCUUCGGAUCGUUAAUUGUGAAGAGAGACUGAUCCGAACUCGAAUAAUGGGUAUUUCACCUGAUUUGAUUUGUUUUAAAUGGUAAACCUAAGUCAGAAAUCUUUAUUUUGCUCUCCAAGUUUUGCAUUGCCUGGUAACUUUUUAUGCCUUCGUAGUCUGUUCUGGAUGACCUUGAUGCUUUUUCCGUACAUGGUGGUGACGAUGAUGUCCCAUUAUUGAAUUCGAGUGUGAAUCUUACAAAGAGUUUUUUUUUAUGACCACUGUUCAUAUUGUUGAAUAUACAGAAUUGAAUUUUCAGUGUUUCUAUAAAUUAGUCCUGCAAUUUUGUUUUGGUUUUUGCUUACAACAGCUUUGAGGAGAUCCCAAGUAAUUACUGUGGAGGUAUUUUCAGUGGCAAUGAUCAUGAUAUGGGUUAACUCUCUCUUAGUUGAGGAUGUCAUGGUAAUUGGGUGAGUCAGUUCUUUUUUUUUAAUUAUUAUUAUUUUGAUAAUUGGAUGAAAUCAAUAUUUAUAGUUGGAGCGAUUACCGCGUGCACUCAACCUCACAAAAUCGUUGCUGAUUUAAUGGCACAAAGGAUUGAGGAAGAACGUAAUGGGUGUUAUGAUAAUAGUUCUAUCAGUUGUUGCCAGUCUUGCUUAUCUAGGCAGAAAUUCAUCUCCAAGGUAAUAUCUAUGGAAAAUCACAAUGAUAAGAGACUGACUUGGGUUUCAUGCUUAUUGUAGAUGAGGCUCAUGAAAGAAGCUUGAACACUGAUUUGUUGUUGGCCUUAAUUGAAGGCUUAUUACUCAAAAGAUUUUUCCCUAGAUCCUUUGCAAUUCGUAUGUUUAUGUUUCUUGGAAGAAGGAAUCCUACCUAUCUCUGCGGUGUACAGAGAGAACUUCAUUUACCAGCUCGAGGUGGUUCUUUGGAUUGUGUUCGAGAAUCGCUUGCAUGAGGAGUAGAUAGAAUUAAAAGAGAUGAACAGGUAAGGAAAAAUAACUAUGAACAAAGUUACGCUACAAUUAUUCCGAAAUGUCGGUUAUUAAAGUUAAUAGAAAUUUCCUUACUUCUUGACCAAUAUGGAAAGAGUAAUCUGUUCCACAAUUACGUGGUGAUGCACAGUUAGCACUGUGGUUUUCUCAUUGCUAACUGAAGUUCCAGAAUUACGUGCGGGAUCGUGAAAACCUGGUAUCAUUUUGAAUUGCUGUUGAGACGUCUAUUCAAGCUUUAACUCUUUGAUAUUCCUUAAUUAUUGAAUAAGCAGUGUUUGACCAGGAUUUGUUAACUCCAUUAGCCUAAUAUGGAUUCAUUGGUGAAGUGUGUAUGAAGUGUGUAGGACAAUUCCAUAUAAGCAUAUAAAACACAUUCAACUAUAAGCAUAUGGCUCAUACCUAGCGCUUUAACCCUUUAUACUGGGAGAGGCCAGUAUAUAUACACAUACACUUUUCGUGGUAUCUCUACCGUCGACUUCUUUCGGAUUCAACAACAAUCUGAAAUGUCUUUCGAGAGACUUGGAGCGAAGCCAGGACAUCUUACCUUACUUAGUCAAGUCCGUAAAUAAAUCUUUAACAUCUCAAAGUAAUGUACCAGAUAAAUUUACCAGGGAUUACUUCGUUUGUUAGAGUGGUAGGUAUGAAUUUUUUGAGAUCAAAAGAAUAACAAAUACCCAAGAAAAUAAUGAUCCAAUAUAGUGGUUUAGGUAAUUUACAAUAAAAAAAGGUGUUUCGUUGUUUUUGGUAUUUUUUUUCUUCUACUAUGUUGUUGCUUUUCUGUGUGUCUGAGAGUUUUAUUAGGUUAACUCUCUAGCUUUAUGUAGCAUUCUGUUUUGUUUUGUUUUGUUUUGGUAUUCCAAUGCCCAGCCUGCAUUGUACAAACAAUUGUUUUCUUUGUGGUGAGCAUUUAUGGAUUAAUACCUAAGUAUUUCUUAUCUUUAGGGAUUUGGAAAAUUUACUCCAGUUUUGGACUGUUGAAACCCGCUGGUAUAUAGGUUUAAGUUGAUUUGGAUAAUGGGAACCAUGAAACUAUGCAAAUUUGGAAAUUCUAGCGUGCCAAUGUGAUUGUUGGUUUAUAUUAGAGUUUCCAGUAUUGCAUUCUUUCUUGAUUUCUAAUGCCAGUUAAAUCAUUGGACUCCGGGAACGAAGAUAGGCAAAAAUUUCAUGCGCCAGGUUCGUGUUUCUGCUUUUCUUCGUAUCAUUAUCAUUUUUUAUAUUUUAGGAUUUGAUCUGUUGUGUUUUCUUUUGAUUUUUUAUUUGUUGUUUUUUCUUGGUUGAUCCUUCCUAAUUGGUGUGAUCUGGAAAAAAAAAUCUAUUAAGUUUUCUGCUUUUCGUACCUGCAUUUUUCACUUUUAAGUGUCUGAUUAGAGUUUGAAUUCUUAAAAGACUUCUUUUAUUUAAGAAAUUGAAUCGGUGAAUGUUGUCUUAUAUAUUCGGUGUGUGGGUACAUGUUAGCGCAACAGUGAGAUAGACUCUUUAUGUUAAGAAUGCUUACUCACAAAAUCAACUGCAAUAUGGUCUACUUGGUUCAUGUUGUGGAGGACAUCCAGCUUUGAAUCAUUACUGAGGGUCGAUUAUUAGGGGGUACAAAUCAGUCAUGGUGGCAUUGAUGAGCAUAAAUUUAACCCAAAAUCAAUUGAUUAAAGAAGCGUUAUACUUUUUUAGAGAAAAAGUAGUACUACAAAGAAAAUGAGGGAGCACUCUAAUAGUUGAAAGCAUUGUUUUUCAUUCUUAAUGAUAUUUUCCUGAAUUGUUCGUUGCAUUUGGAUGAAUAUGUAGGAUAUUUUAUGCACGAUUGUGUACAUAUAACUAAAGAUUGUGUUUUAUUGGGUUGAGAUACCCCCUUAAGUACCUCUAAUUCAAUGAACUAAAGAUGUUCGAUAAUAACAUUGCAUUGAUUUCCAUCCCGAUGAAACCACAGAUCUGUAGUGAGUUGGUUACCUUAGCAGAUAAGGUGAUUGCGGCAAAGUAUGAGCUGGAGGAGGCGGAAGACCACAAAAUUAAGAAACUGAAAGAGUAUAUAGCAAAGGCUGUCACGAUAUAGAAUGAUCUUAUGGAAGCAGAAUAGAACGUGACUGCUUCAGAGACUAUGGUUUAAUCCAUGAUCUCUUUAAGAAAAUGAAGGUAGUCGUGUCAUGUAGAAUUAAUGUCCUUUUGAGAUAUUAGAAUUUUUUGCGUAGGAGAGUUUCAACAUUAUGUAGUGUACAUGAUUCUCUUCCACCUCCACCGUAGCAGGUACAUACUAAGUAUGUAUAUGAGCUUCAACAUUAUAUUACAUCUGUAUUAGGGUAGAACCUCUAUGGGUUAGCCAUUAAUUCUUACCGCGGCUAAUUUUAGGUGUGCCGUAACUAAGUAUCCUAAUAUAAUAGAUUUCCUAUUCUAACUUAAUUUCCUAAUUAAAAACGCUUAAUCCUAAUGCUAAAGAAUUUAACCUGACCAACAAAACACGGGGAACUGCUUAAUUGCUCCUCCUCACCAUCUGUAUAUUAGUUAUGAUCAUUAAUUUUGUUCUGUAUAUUAAUUUUGUUCUUAAUUGCAGGUACAAGUUUUAUUGAAAAUGUGUGGAUAAACAACCUAACUAAAGCACACAAUAAGGUUUACAUGUUGAUAAUUAGUUCAAUGAGGAAAGAGUGUUGCUUUUGUAUCAACAAGCGAGAAAAAGGGUAGAGGUAAUCUUCUCAUAAUCAGUGGCUCUUUAAAUCAGAUUACAAUAUAGACAGUUUGUUUGGUAUGGUAUAAGUUGAAUGAAUUGGAAGAGCUGCAGAUGUAUCAGCUGAUUAUAAUAGACAGUUUGUACGGUAAGCUGAAUUUAUUAGAAGAGCAGAUGUAUCAGUUGAUUAUAAUUGACUGUAAUGACACGUACGACCUAAUAUACAAUACCUGAUCCUUUUCUCACAACACAGAUAGUCUACUGCCUUUUUUUUCUCUCCAUACUCAUUGCAAGUGUUAAAGUUUAUUACUUUG